GGGUUGUGAGGUUAAGCGACUAAGCGUACACGGUGGAUGCCCUGGCAGUCAGAGGCGAUGAAGGACGUGCUAAUCUGCGAUAAGCGCCGGUAAGGUGAUAUGAACCGUUAUAACCGGCGAUUUCCGAAUGGGGAAACCCACUUGCUGUGAUGAGCAAGUAUCCAUAAGUGAAUA
rnacentral:rRNA from 1 species